rnacentral:rRNA from 1 species
UUGUAUAUUGACUCUGAUCAAAUAAAAUUCUGAGUGGAUUGUGAUUAUGACAUUUUCUAUUCAUAUGUCUGGACCAAAUUACGUGCCAGCAGUCGCGGUAACACGUAACAGACUAGUGUUAUUCAUCUUUAAUUGGUUUAAAGGGUACCUAGACGGCUAAUUAUGCCCAAAAAAGGGUACUUCUAAGCUAGAGUUUUAUAUAAGAGGGCAUAAAAGUACUGAUGAUGUAGAGAGAUGAAAUUCUGUGACACGAUAAAAGGCACAGGUAUAGGCGAAAGCAUCCCGUUAUGUAAUAACUGACGUUGAGGGACGAAGGCUUUGUGAAAUAAAAAGGAUUUGUUACCCAAGUAGUCUUUGCAGAAAAUUAUGAAUGUCAUAGGAUAGAUAAAAUUUUAUUCUAUAAAUGAAAGUGUAAGCAUUCCACCUUAAGAGUAAUUUGGCAACAUUGGAACUGAAAUCAUUAGUCCGUUUCUGAAACAAGUAGUGAAGUAUGUUGUUUAAUUAGAUGUUCCGCAAAAAACCUCACCACUUUAAAAUUUUUUAAUUUGAAUAUAAAAUAUUUUUUUAUACAAGCGCUGCACGGUUGUCUUCAGUUAAUGUCGUGAGAUUAUGGUUAGUUCCAUUAAAUUAACGUAAACCCUUACUCUAUUUUUUUUAUAGAGUAGUUCACCACUAUAUUGGAUGUGAUAAGAGGUACUAAGACAAAUCAACAUGGCCUUAAUAUUGUGGGCU